GGGAAUAUUGGACAAUGGGCGAAAGCCUGAUCCAGCAACGCCGCGUGAGGGAUGACGGCCUUCGGGUUGUAAACCUCUUUCAGCAGGGACGAAGCGAAAGUGACGGUACCUGCAGAAGAAGGACCGGCCAACUACGUGCCAGCAGCCGCGGUAAUACGUAGGGUCCGAGCGUUGUCCGGAAUUAUUGGGCGUAAAGGGCUCGUAGGCGGUUUGUCGCGUCGGAAGUGAAAACUCAGGGCUCAACCCUGAGCGUGCUUACGAUACGGGCAAACUAGAGGUAUGCAGGGGAGAACGGAAUUCCUGGUGUAGCGGUGGAAUGCGCAGAUAUCAGGAGGAACACCGGUGGCGAAGGCGGUUCUCUGGGCAUUACCUGACGCUGAGGAGCGAAAGCAUGGGGAGCGAA
rnacentral:rRNA from 1 species